rnacentral:rRNA from 1 species
CUACCUUCGAAUUGGGGAUAACGUUGCGAAAGUGACGCUAAUACCGAAUGAUAUCAUAAGGACUUUGGUUCUUUUGAUCAAAGAUGGCCUCUCCUUGGAAGCUAUUGUUUGAAGAUGAGCCCGCGUCCCAUUAGCUUGUUGGUGGGGUAAUGGCCUACCAAGGCAGCGAUGGGUAGCUGGUCUGAGAGGAUGAUCAGCCACACUGGAACUGACGCACGGUCCAG